UACGUAGGGGCCGAGCGUUGUCCGGAGUUAUUGGGCGUAAAGCGCGCGCAGGCGGCUUCGCGCGCCCGACGUGAAAUCCCAAGGCUUAACCUCGGAACUGCGUCGGAUACUGGAUGGCUUGAAUUCGGGAGAGGGAUGCAGAAUUCCAGGUGUAGCGGUGAAAUGCGUAGAUAUCUGGAGGAAUACCGGUGGCGAAGGCGGCAUCCUGGACCGACAUUGACGCUGAUGAGCGAAAGCUAGGGGAGCAAACGGG
rnacentral:rRNA from 1 species